rnacentral:rRNA from 1 species
GACGAACGCUGGCGGCGCGCCUAACACAUGCAAGUCGAACGAGCAAGAGAGAGCUUGCUUUCUCGAGCGAGUGGCGAACGGGUGAGUAACGCGUGAGGAACCUGCCUCAAAGAGGGGGACAACAGUUGGAAACGACUGCUAAUACCGCAUAAGCCCACGGUGCCGCAUGGCACAGAGGGAAAAGGAGCAAUCCGCUUUGAGAUGGCCUCGCGUCCGAUUAGCUAGUUGGUGAGGUAACGGCCCACCAAGGCAACGAUCGGUAGCCGGACUGAGAGGUUGAACGGCCACAUUGGGACUGAGACACGGCCCAGACUCCUACGGGAGGCAGCAGUGGGGAAUAUUGCACAAUGGGGGAAACCCUGAUGCAGCGACGCCGCGUGGAGGAAGAAGGUCUUCGGAUUGUAAACUCCUGUUGUUGGGGAAGAUAAUGACGGUACCCAACAAGGAAGUGACGGCUAACUACGUGCCAGCAGCCGCGGUAAAACGUAGGUCACAAGCGUUGUCCGGAAUUACUGGGUGUAAAGGGAGCGCAGGCGGGAAGACAAGUUGGAAGUGAAAUCUAUGGGCUCAACCCAUAAACUGCUUUCAAAACUGUUUUUCUUGAGUAGUGCAGAGGUAGGCGGAAUUCCCGGUGUAGCGGUGGAAUGCGUAGAUAUCGGGAGGAACACCAGUGGCGAAGGCGGCCUACUGGGCACCAACUGACGCUGAGGCUCGAAAGUGUGGGUAGCAAACAAGAUUAGAUACCCUGGUAGUCCACACCGUAAACGAUGAUUACUAGGUGUUGGAGGAUUGACCCCUUCAGUGCCGCAGUUAACACAAUAAGUAAUCCACCUGGGGAGUACGACCGCAAGGUUGAAACUCAAAGGAAUUGACGGGGGCCCGCACAAGCAGUGGAGUAUGUGGUUUAAUUCGACGCAACGCGAAGAACCUUACCAAGUCUUGACAUCCCUUGACAGGCAUAGAAAUAUGUUUUCUCUUCGGAGCAAGGAGACAGGUGGUGCAUGGUUGUCGUCAGCUCGUGUCGUGAGAUGUUGGGUUAAGUCCCGCAACGAGCGCAACCCUUAUGGUCAGUUACUACGCAAGAGGACUCUGGCCAGACUGCCGUUGACAAAACGGAGGAAGGUGGGGAGGACGUCAAAUCAUCAUGCCCUUUAUGACUUGGGCUACACACGUACUACAAUGGCGUUAAACAAAGAGAAGCAAGACCGCGAGGUGGAGCAAAACUCAGAAACAACGUCCCAGUUCGGACUGCAGGCUGCAACUCGCCUGCACGAAGUCGGAAUUGCUAGUAAUCGUGGAUCAGCAUGCCACGGUGAAUACGUUCCCGGGCCUUGUACU